rnacentral:lncRNA from 1 species
CAGACAAACAGAAGUUCAUUGGUGCAUUGGGAUUCUUAUUAAGUCACUUUCUUGAAUAUGUGGAUCAUAUAUCCAGGGUAUAAUCCUGAGAUGAAUAAGUGAAUAUAUAAAUGCAUCGUAAACAAACACUGCGGGUUGAUUGAUUCACCAACUCCUUCUAUCAAUGUCAAGCUACUUUGAAUUUUCGACGCAGCAAAUACCCUAAUGAAAUGGCUAUAAAAGCCGUUAUAACGAUCCCCUUGUACGCCUUCAACUUGAUCAUUACAUUUUCUAACAUAGUUUCAUCUCUUUUUGAUCCCUUCUGUUGUUGGUCACUUCCGACUUUCCCCGUCCGUUUGUCACUUCCGUCGUUUGGGGUUUCGCCUUUCACUUCUACAUCAGCCUGCUUCUUUGGGAUGGCUAUCUCGAGAGGUUUCGUAGGGGAUGUUUGUUGGUCUAUGCACAGCUUCACGUCUUUCCCAGCAGCUUAGAAAGAGAGCAACAAAUUAAAGAUUACCAACAUUCUACUUUUCCAUUGAAUACACUUGUUUCUAUAAAUUGUGUGUGUAUAUAUAGAGGCUAAGAAGAAGAGCAAUUAAACAAUGAUUCAUAGAUUUAACAGAUCAUUUAUUUUCUAACAAGAAGAAAAGAGUUCAAGUAACUUCAAGAAGUAAGCCUCCAAAGAUGACAAAGCAGAAAAUUGGCGAGAAGAAAUUUAUUCAAUACCGGUAAUAUUGAUUUGGACAUGAUCUUGAUACUCCGUCCAUUCACCAACAUUUGAAAUAGGCUUUGUUUUUGGUUUUUCGACAUUCCCUUUUACUGUCACAUCCUUCUUUGGGAUGGUUAUCUCGAGAGGUUUCGUAGGGGAUGGCAUGCACAGCUUUACCUCUCUCCCAGCAGCUUAGAAUGAGAGCAACAAAUUAAAGAUUAACAACAUUCUACUUCUCCAUUGAAUACAUUUGUUUCUAUAAAUUGUGUGUGUAUAUAGAGGCUAAAAAGAAGAGCAAUUAAACAAUGAUUCAUAGAUUUAACAGAUCAUUUAUUUUCUAACAAGAAGAAAAGAGUUCAAGGAACUUCAACAAGUAAGCCUCCAAAGAUGACAAAGCAGAAUAUUGGUGAGAAGAAAUUUAUUCAAUACCGGUAAUAUUGAUUUGGACACGAUCUCCAUCCUCCGUCCAAUUUCCAACAUCUGAAAUUGGUGUUUCUGAAAUAGCUUUUGCUGCUGUGUUGUCUGUCAUAGAUAAGGUAUGAAGGAAGCAGAGGGAUGUUAGGCCUUGAGCUGAUACAAUAUUAGUAGCCUGUGGUGAUGGUGACUGAAUCAGUUUUAUGGCUUUGUAUAUAUAGCUAGAAAAUGGAACUUUUCUUGCUCAACCAUGUGAAUCUUAUUCCAAACUUUUUUCUUUCUUGGAUGUUUAGACCUAGGAUUGUAACUCAAUUAUGAUCUCUAACCGAGGAAAGGUACUAUUCCUUGCGUUCGAUAUCCCACUUGUUGGGAAUUUGAUAAAAGAAUGUUUCAAACUUUAAAAAAAAGGAAUAAAAUAUUUUACUCAUUUGAUAAGUCUGUAAUAACUUCACUUGAUUUGAUAAGCCAAUAAUCCUUUAGCUUGUAAUUGAGCACCUUAGAUAUUUCCAACCUUUAGGCUAGAAGUUAUGGAAUUUUGGGAAUUAAUCCGUGAUAUUCAAAACCCGUCUACUCAUAAAAAAGAACCUUUUUUCCUUCUUGUAGAUAUUUGAAAGGUUCAAACACCUCUCAAAGUUUCUUUAUUAUAUUAUUAUUAUUAUUAUUACUUUAGAUAGAUUGAUCAAUUUUUCCUUUGAACAUGCUCAUAGAGAAGACAUCGUCGAGAGCUAUUGGAAUUAUAUCUUGGAGUGCUCAUGAUCAUCAACCGUUAGUACUCAUAUGGAGGGAGACAAAAAAAACUUUGAAUCCCAUCACUGAGAAGGACACAAACCAAGUUUCUGAGGAAGCAACAAGAGAGCAGUGGGUGCAUGAGGUUAUUUGGUAAAUGAACUGAUACAGAUUGAUUUAUCUAUCAUUUUGUAAGGUUCAUCCAUUGAUCAUUUUCUGCAGACCGCAAUUGAACAGAUACAACCCAGAGAGAGCUUUGGAAUUUAAACUGAAAAUUAAAUCGAUUGAAAAUUGAUGGCUUGAGAGAAUUUUAUGGGGUUUUCUUUCGAUGGGUAUAUGUUGUUGUCUACAAAAUUCAAAGAGCUCACAUGAUCAGUGGUUGAAUUUAUGCUGACAAAAAUUAAAAAGAAGAUAUAUGGCAAGCAGACAAACAGAAGCUCAUUGGCGAAUUGGGAUUCUUAUUAAGUCGCUUCAUUCAAUAUGUGGAUCAUACGUAAAGGGUACAACCAUGAGAUGAAUGAGUGAAUAUACAAACGCAUCAUAAACAAACAAUGCAGGUUGAUUGAUUCACCAACUCCUUCCAUCAAUGUCCAGCUACUUUGAAUUUUGGACGCAGCAAAAACCCUAAUGAAAAGGCUAUAAAAGCCGUUAUGACGAUCCCCUUUCGCAUCUUCAACUUGGUCAUGACAUUUUCUAACAUAGUUUCAUUUCCUUUUUGUUCACUACUCCCUCCUUUCCUAGCACCUUUUUCUGACUCAUCAGUCGUGACCUCCGGGUUGUUAGAAGUAUUCACAGCCGGAGAGUUGUUAGUAGUAUUCACUGGCUGAGUUUUGUUAGUGUCGGAGCUGUUAGAUUCUUACUGCAUUGGGAUGCUAGUAGUAUUCACAAACUGGUCAGUUUUGUUGGCGUCAGAACUGUUAAAUUCUUGUUGUUUUGGGAUGCUAGUAGUAUUCACUGGCUGAGUUUUGUUGGUGUCAAAACUGUUAGAUUCUUGCUGCUUUGGGAUGCUAGUAGUUAUCACAGGCUGAGUUUUGUUGGUGUCAGAGCGGUUAGAUUUUUGCUGCUUUGGGAUGCUGGUAGUAUAAACUGGCUGAGUUUUGUUGGUGUCAGAGCUGUUAGAUUCUUGCUGCUUUGGGAUGCUAGUAGUAUUCAUAGGCUGAGUUUUGUUGGUGUCAGAGCUAUUUUCUUGUUGUUUUGGGAUACUAGUAGUAUUCACUGGUUGAGUUUUGUCGAUGUCAGUCCUGUUAAAUUCUUGCUCCUUUGGGAUGCUAGUAGUAUUCACUGGCUGAGUUUCAUUGGUGUCAGAGCUGUUAGAUUCUUGCUGCUUUGGGAUGAUCAUUUGGAGACGCUUCUUAUAUUUGAUUUUUAGCUUGCUUGCGUCGUCUAUGCUCAGCUCUAUGUCUUUCCCAUCGGCUUAGAAUAAGAACAACAAAUUAAAGAUUAACAACAUUCUACUUUUCCAUUGAAUACAUUUGUUUCUAUAAAUAUUGUGUGUGUGUGUGUAUAAGCUAAUAAGAAGAGCAGUUAAACUAUGAUUCAUAGAUUUAUAAACAGAUGAUUUAUUCUCUAAUAAGAAGAAAAGAGUUCAAAGUAACUUCACCAAGUAAGCCUCCAAAGAUGAUAAAACAAAUUGGUGAGAAGAAAUUUAUUCAAUAUCGGCAAUGCUGAUUUUGACAUGAUCUUUUUCCUCCCAUUUACUAACAUCUGCAAUAUUCCCUUCUUUUGUGCCUGGCAUUGAUAAGGUAUGAAGGAAGCAAAGGGACCAACUUUGUGUGCAUAGCUAGAAAGUGGUGACUCAAAGUGUGUGAACGAAUGUGAACAACGGCUCUAAACGCCAAAACUAAAUAUGUGACUCUAAAUGUCAUACUGAACAAAGACUCUUGACGUCGAACUAAGCUGAUAGGAAGAUGGUCGAUCGAUAUAGGUGUGGCCCUGACUCAAACUGAACUGACAAGACGAAAGAAUGACCGAUCAAUAUAGGUGUUGUCCCGAAAACUCAAAAUGAUAGGAAGAUGGUCGAUCGAUAUAAGUGUAGCCUCGACUCAAACUCAAACUGAUAAGAUAAUGACAGAUCAAUAUAGGUGCAGCCCCAAAACGCAAACUCGAACUGACAAGAUGAUGACCGAUCGAUAUAGAUGCGGUCCCAGAAACUGAACUAACAUGACAAGGAGAUGGUCGAUCGAUAUAGGUGCGACCCCGACUCAAACUCAAAUAGACAAAAUGAUGAAUGACUGAUUGAUAUAAGUGCGGUCCCAAAAACUAAACUGACAUGACAAGGAGAUGGCCGAUCUAUAUAGGUGCGGUCCCAGAAACUAAACUGACAUGACAAGGAAAUGGUCGAUCGAUAUAGGUGCGGCCCUUACUCAAACUCAGACAGACAAAACGAUGAAUGACCGAUCGAUAUAGGUGCGGUCACAACUCAAGCUGAACACAAACUGGUAGGAAUACGGUUGAUCGAUAUGGGUCCUGCCCCAACUCAAACUGACAUGACGAAUGACCGAUCAAUAUAGGUGCGGCCCCAAACUCUAACUGAUAAGACAGUGACCGAUCAAUAUAGGUGCGGUCCCAGAAACUAAACUGACAUGACAAGGAGAUGACCGAUCGAUAUAGGUGUGGCCCCAAACUCUAACUGAUAAGAUAGUGACCAAUCGAUAUAGGUGCGGUCUCGACUCAGACUCAAACAGAACUAACAAGAUGAAUGAAUGACCGAUCGAUAUAGGUGCAGUCCCGACUCAGACUCAAACAGAAUUGACAAGAUGAAUGAAUGACCGAUCAAUAUAGGUGCGACCCCAAACUCUAACUGAUAAGACAGUGACCGAUCAAUAUAGGUGCGGUCCCAGAAACUAAACUGACAUGACAAGGAGAUGACCGAUCGAUAUAGGUGUGGCCCCAAACUCUAACUGAUAAGAUAGUGACCAAUCGAUAUAGGUGUGGUCCCAACUCAGACUCAAACAGAACUAACAAGAUGAAUGAAUGACCGAUCGAUAUAGGUGUAGUCCCGACUCAGACUCAAACAGAAUUGACAAGAUGAAUGAAUGACCGAUCGAUAUAGGUGCAGUCCCGAAAGAUUCAAACAGACAAGGAAAUGAUAAAAAGAUGGUCGAUCGAUAUAGGUGUGGCCCUGAAAGACUCAAAUAGACAAGGAAAUGAUAGGAAGGUGGCCAAUCGAUAUAGGUGCAACCCCAAAACACAAACUAACAUGGAAAAUGAUAGGAAGAUGGUCGAUCAAUAUAGGUGCGACCCCGACUCAAACUGAACACGAAAGUGAUAGGAAAAUGGCCGAUCGAUAUGGGUGCAAUCCCAAAAAAUUCAAACAGACAAGGAAAUGAUAGGAAGAUGACCGAUCAAUAUAGGUGCGACCCUAAAAGACUCAAACAGACAAGGAAAUGAUAGGAAGAUGGUCGAUCGAUAUAGGUGCAGCCCCGAAACUCUAACUAAACUUAAAUUGACAAGAUGAUGACCGAUCGAUAUAGGUGCAGUCCCAAAAACUCAAAAUGAACUCAAACUGAUAGGAUGAAAGAUCUUAUCAAGUGGCUCAAAGCCAAAGGAUAACCAAGAUAACGAUGCAAGCAAACUCGGCCAGAUGGAAUAUGUCCCAGUAUGACAACUCAUGAGGAUCGACAACUAGGUCGAAAGAUAACUAAGCUCAUGAAAGGUCCGAUGAUCCUAGGGAAGGAGGGUAUGCCCUAGUAUGCAACUCAAGGGAGUCAACAACUAGAUCAAAAAGUGAAUGAAACCUAUGGAAGGUCCGAUGAUCCUAGGGAAGGGGGAUAUGCCCCAGUAUGCAAUGACGAAAAAACAGAGAUGAAAAAUGCCUCCAAACCACUGUACUCUGAAAUAUGCUCAUCCAUCAUGUAAUGAAAAUGUCCAACCUCAGAUGGGUAAUGCCAAACAGGACCAUGUGUCACGACACCAUGCUAACAAAAGAAAACUAGCUGAUGAAUAACAACAAUAAUGAUGACCAGUGCUCAAAAUGAAAAGAGCAAGCAAAUCAACACUCAACAUGCCAACUAUCAAAAUGAAAGCAUCGUCACUAAUAAGUCAACAAUCUGUCAGGCCCUGCUAUCAUGGAAAAUGUUGAACCUAAAGUCCAAAAGAUGUAUGAAAACACAACCAAGGUGAUCGAGGACUGAUCUACGUCUCCUUCUAAUCAAGAUAGGGGUAAGGUCAUGUGUCACGGUGGGAUGUGUAGGAUAAAAUAAAGUGAUGAUCAAGCUCUGGUAUGAUAGAAGGCAUGAGAGUAUCCAGGGUGAAAUGUCUGAGUAUGAAAUAAAAUGUAUAUAAGUAUCUGAGAUCAUCCAGGUAUGCCGAGAAGACUAAACCCAAGGUGUCAAUAGCUCCAUAAUCCAUCGAAAGCAACAAUCACAAACAAAAAGUCAAAUCUCGAUGUCGAAACAUCCAACUAGGUGGUUAUGCCUCAGUAUGCAAUGUGGACAACAUGAAACAAUCCAAUAAUCUCCAUAUCAUCCGAUAGAUGCUCCAAUGUAAAGAACCAAUCUGAUCUCUCUCCAAAAGAUGGAUAUGCCCCAAUGUAAAGCAGUGCAUCCGAGUCGACAACUGCUGAAGGAGAUCAUGCUAGUGUAUGUCAACAAAUCAAUCAAUCUCUACUCCUGGUGCCAAAACGGAAACAUCUCAACAUAAUCCAUAUGAAUCAGAAUCCGAAGGCUCUAUGAAUGUGAAUGAGGUGGCUAUGCCCCAAUAUAAACCACCUGAAGUGACUAUGCUCCAAUGAAAAAUCAAAGUCCAUCACCAAUGAGAGGGCUACGCCUCAAAAUAAAUCGUCAUCUCAAGAAUCAACCAUCAAUGAGUAGAGUGUGUCCCAAUGCAGAGUAUCGAGUAGAGUGACUAUAUCUCCAAUAAAAGCGCUCUCUGAAAUGGCUAUGCCCUAGUGUAAAGUAGUAUAUCUGAGUCAACAAAUCAAUCAAUCUCUACUCCUAGUGCUAAAAAUGGAAACAUCUCAACAUAAUCCAUAUGAAUCAAAAUCUCUGAGCUCUAUGAGUACGAAUGAAUUGGUUAUGCCCCAGUAUAAACCAUCUGAAGUGACUAUGCUCCAAGAUAAAUCAAAGUCCACCACCGAUGAGAGGGCUAUGCCUCAAAAUAAAUUGUCAUCUUGGAAAUCAACCAUCAAUGAGUAGAGCGUGUCCCAAUGCAAAGUAUCGAGUAGAGUGACUAUAUCUCUAAUAAAAGCACUCUCUGAAAUGACUAUGCUCCAGUGUAGGGUCAUCCCACAACUCCUAAUCGAUCAUAAUCCAAUUGAAGAAGCGAACUGACUAUGCCUCAGUGCAAGGCAUCAUCCCGAAAGAAAACGUCAUCGAUGAGCGGGGUAUGCCCCAGUGUAGAUAACGUCACAUCUGAAAAUUCAUCACUGAUAAGAGGGGUAUGCCCCAGUGUAAAUCAUCAUCUCAACUCCCCAUCCAUCAUGCUCCAAGAAAUAAUCUCUGACCAAGCUCGAGUAUUGCCCACUUGUGAGCUAUCAAACACAAUGUGAAGUAAUGGCCUCAGGGUGGUCUUCAGACAUAGGACGUAACGUAGGCCAAGGUAAUAGGGUGAAAGAAAUGAAAGGAAACUAGGCUCAAAGACCCCAAUGAUAUAAUCCCCAUACCCCUCGUGCAUGAGAUGCAAUGCGUAGAAAACGUCAUGAGUCCCGAACCUAGGGGUCCCCACACAAAAAGUGACAAUAAAUGAAUUGUCACAAUCGAAUAAGGAAGAAUAAAGUGUGGAUGCUGAACCCAUGUCAAACAUCAAGCAGGACGAGAAAAUAAUGAAAUCAAAUGAGGUAGAGUGAAAUGGAGGAAUAAAAUUAAGAUAGAAGAAUGCGAAGAGAUAUAAAAAUGAGUGAUGGUCAACCCGCAUCAAAGCAUGGAAAAUAGUCACAUCUGAAAUAUAUGGAAUGAUGGAUAGAGCAAGGAUCCGGAGAUACUAAAGAAAGGUCGUUCGCCUCUCUCACAAAAAACGAAUUGGCGACUCAUACCCUCACCCAAAAUAUACCAAGAUAGAUCUCAGAAAAAAAGCUCUCAUACGAACUCUCUCUAACACAUGAACUCAAUGAAGCAAACUAGCACAUCCAUACACAUGCCCAAUGGAGAAUAAUAAAAUGAACAAUGCGCCAUUUUUUAUUAUUAUUAUUAUUUUUAUUUUUUAUUUUUUUUUUGCGCAUACUCUGAUCAAUAUUGAAUAAUCUCACAUGAAAUACAUAGUCAAAUGAAUAAACUCUCCUCAUGUACUGAUGCAACAUGAAUCCUCACUAACAAGACAACCUCUCAAAAUAAAAUCUUUGAACCACUGCUAAUAAGGCGAACGGGAGGAAGAACGUGACAAUCCUCCAUGCAGUGACGUGUGAGAAACCACCACUCAAAGUGAAAUAAGGAUAAUGUCGAGUAAGCAAUGAUGAAAGAAAAGUCAUAGAAUGAAUAUCACAAGUGGUGAUAUGUGAUAUCGGAAAAUAGUGAUGAAAUGAUGUCCAAGUGGAAAAUAUCACAAUGAAGAGUGAAGAAUGAGGCCUGAAUAUGUGUGUCAAGUCUGGAACUCAUGACGUAUCCAAUCAUAGCAUGCAAGCACUAUAAGGUCUCCAACCCGGUGUAAUAGGUAAAUGAGGUGAUGAAAGAAAAUGUUAUGAUGCUCGUGUGAAGCUCAAAAGGCUAGCAACGGGUAACUCUAUAUGUGAGGGUGAUAGGGUAAAUGGGCUCAUGAAAUGAUGGCCACCCAUCCUUUGACCACAACCUCGAACAUCGUGCUUUCAAGAUCUCACAUAGCCAAUACUAAAGAUUGGCAUCCGUCCAACAAAGUCAUGUCAACUCCUCUAAAAUCGUGUGAAAGCUCCCACUGAUGUUCUAUGAUAACCAUCAAUGUCCUCUGAAAAUCAACUCACUCUAUCAUCACAAGUCACUCACCAUCAUCUCAUAAAAUCACCAUCUCUAAUCAUCUCGACUCUCUAAAGUCAUAUGCAAUGGCUCAUAUCUGGAUGCUCCAUGAUAACCCCUCUAUCUCAACAAUAUCAUCAAGCAGUCAAACCACCCUCUCAUCGCGAUCCAUCUAUCAUCAUGGAAAGCUCACCUCAGGUCUAAACAUCUCAGACUCUACCUGGUCAAAUCAAAGAAAUGAUGGGAAGCAUAGGUAAUGGUACUGUAGUAUACAAAGGCAAAUAGGGAUGGUAAGGUCGUAUAAUAGUACUAAGGGGUGGUGUCAUGUUAGGCUUAAAAUGGGUAGGUCAUCAAGCCUGAAAAGUUAGGAUAUGGAUAUAGAUACUGUACUGCUCUGAUUAGAAGGUGAAAUGGGUCACAAUCUCGAACUCCUUAGGUCGAUCUCCUAAUCCUAGGUUAAUAGGCUCAAUAUCCUCCAUGAUAGGUCAGACCAAAGUGAUCAUGAUGCAUAAGUGAAAAUAUGUCUCAUAUCGAAAGCAUAGCACAUCAACGCAAGAUAUGCAAAACAUACUCAUCAGAAAAUAGAAUAACACAUACUCAAAAUAAAAAGAUCAUAUCACUAAAUGAACCAAAUGAGUACAUCAUGUGUGAAGCGAUAAAGGACUACAAACGACUAGACUCUCAGCAUGAACUAUAAACAACAACUCUGAACCAAACUGGACUCAACAAAGCAACUCUAAUGAACUAAAGACUAGACUCGACAGAACAGGAACGGCUCCGAUGACAACCAUAAAUCAAAAUGAAAUGUGCUUUGAGCUAAACCGCUGCAAAAUGAUGUACCCAUGUCAACUGAACCAAGUCCUCAACUCAGAAUAUCCCAAAAUACCAUAUGACCAUCAAUAUCAUCAACAUCUAAAUAAAUUUACUGAAGACUAGGAGGAGGGGGAAUUGCAUGUGUAGAAUGCGUAGGCAGGGGAUUGGUGGUCACACUUGGCCCAGCCAAGUUGACCAACCCCGAAUCGAUCAAGUCUUGUAUUGCAUGAUGGAGUGCCUGAUUGGAGCCCAAAUAUGUGCUCUAAUGGCACAUAUUCGAUAUGAUUUGUGCACCAAAGGACAUUCAAAUCACCCAAAUUGACCUAAAUCAAUGCUAAGGCCCUAGCCAUGAGUUUAAUCUGUACUUUGGAGACUUAUCUCAAGUUCAAGGGAAGAAAAUUGUGCAAAUUUAAUGACUUUAGAUUUUGAAAUAUCAAGAAAGGGCUAAAUGAGGAAAUAAGUGAGUCAAGACUCAUUGAACGUAAGGAAAGGCAAAACGAGGAUAUCAUGAGGUUGAAAGAUGAUAAAUGACCAUUAUGGAGUAAGAAAGAAGGCAAGAAAGCAUGGGAAAUGAGGCAUGAAGCAAGAUUUAGCUGCAUAGAAAUUUAUAACUCAAAAAUCUGAUGGCAUUAUAUACUCUGAUUUUGAGGACAAAUUUGGAGCACUUUCUGGAGUCCAUUAUAUACAUACUAUAUAUCGUUUCAAAGUUCAGGAAGUCAGAAGUCCAACUCUUUAAACGGUUUGCAAAUCGAAGUUGAAAUGAAGAAGUUAUGGCCAUUUGAAGACAACUGCACCAAGCUAGAGGGUCAUUUCGAAAUGAUUUCGAAAUUCAACUUAUGAAUUCGAAAUCCACUUCGAAAUGACACCAAUUUCGAAUUCACCCACUGCCACUUUGAUGUUCCGCCACCUCUACCUCAAGAAUUGCAUCUAGGGCUCUUCAUCCACCUUAAGUGAGCCCCACACGACUAGAAAUCACCAUUUUAUUAUUUUUUUAAUCAUUUUUAGGAAAUUAUUUUGUAAUAAGUGGCUAAUGAGAGUGUGCCACAUGUUAGGUAAUUGAUAAUAUUAUAUAAACUCUCUCAAUUCUAGGUUUGAGGGAUCUUGGAUUUUUUUCUGGAGAGUUUGACAUUGAAGGUGGAAAAAGACGAGAACUUUGGUUUGUUUUCUUUUUCUUCUUUAUUGAAUAUAUUGUUUUUAGUUUCUUUUGAUUCAAAUUAUGGAUUUUUACCCUAUUAUGGAUUGUGGAUGUGACAUCACCCCCAUGAGAGGCUAAGAGCCAACUUGGGGCUUGAAGCAUGAAAACCUAAGGGUUAGGAAACCUAUAGGGACAAUGGGUAAAUUAUUAUAACAAUGAGAUUAAUUAUUGGUUGGGUGACAAUUUAUCAUUUUUUUUAUCAUAUCCUUGUGAGUUCGUUUAGGGAAUAAUACAGUAAGUUAUUACUUGAUACUCGUGAUUCUUGGUAAUUCUUGAUCAUUAGUUAUCAUCGUCUUCUCUACCGUUAUUUGCCCCUAAACAAAGCUAUAAGGAGUAGGAAGGGUUAAAAAGUCAAAUCUUAAAUUGAUAAUCAAUCUCAUUCAUUUUAUGGUUUUAGGAAUCUGUUUUAAAAAGGAAAAAUUAGGUUUCAGAUGCAAUUUUGAGUUAUAGAACUCAACUUGAUCGCGAGUGGCCAAGGAUCCCAAAACCCUAAGAUCAUAUUACUUAAAAUACCCUUGUUUUCUCUAAUUUAUAUACCCUAGGUUGGAUUGUGGAAAACCCCAAACUUGAAUCAAUUGAAUUUAAAAUCAAUAUUCAUUUUUUCUUAUUAAUUUAAUUUCUUUUACUUAGUUUCACAUUAUUCACAUAUUGUUUUUCACUUAAGGAUUUAAACAAAAACAAUUCAUAUAUUCUAGUAUUGACAAUUUUCAUAAGUCAAUCCUUGAGAACGAUACCUGGAAUACUACAAAAGUCGUAGUGACUCUUUCUCUAGUUUUUCUUGACUAGAGUUACUACGUAAAAAGGCUAAGUAUUUUGGUACAAUAGAGAAUUUCGGUCAGUGCCGAACAACGCUCAGUAUCAUGUCCCUGAAUCUGAUGAUACAAGCAAUGCUCAUGGGAGCAAAAAUGUAGAGGAAUAGGAUGUAGUAAAGGGCGUGGCGCCAAAAGAACGAUCAAACCACCAUCUCUGAGCUUCUCAAAAGCUCUAGUCAAAGUCAUGCCCAAGGGAGUGAACUGUCUCGCGGGCCUCUAUGCAUAUAGUCUAGGCGGUGGGUGAGUAGUGGCUCUCAGAUGUGACAGUCGUGGUUGCAUGCUGGUCUGAGUAAUGUAAGGCUCCUAAACAUAAACCGGUUGAUACUGAUACUGCGGAUGAGGGAAAUGAGCUCUGACUGUAGGAGGCCUAUAAAGUGAGUGAUGUGCAGGCCUCCGAUGCUGAUAGCUAAUAGCGCCAACCUCUCCAAGUCUACUAGAUGAUCCAAACGGCUUCUUCCCCUUAUUGUCAAUGGAAGGAGUAGCAUCUAUCCAUAAUCCUCGAGCAAUGGCCUCCUCAACACUGAAAGCUGCCUGAACCAGACUCCUGAGAUCCUGAAAUAGAAUGCCCACAAGACGCCUAGCGAACCUCGGCUGUAGGUUCCAAAGAACCAUAUCAAUCUGAUCCUACUCCUUAGGCCGGUCUAUCAUACCAGCCUCCUUUGCCCUCCAACGACUAACAAAUGAUGAAAUAGACUCGUCUGGCCUCUGUCUGGUGGCCUCCAACUCUCGUCUGGAUACAUCAAUAUCGGCACUGAAAUCAAACUGGGUCAGGAACUCGUGAGCCACAUCCUCCCAGGUGCAAAGUCUCAAAGGCUCAACUGAAGCAAACCAUUUCUGAGUUGCCCCACUAAGUGACAUAGGGAAGAAGGUCACCAACUGUGCAUCAUCUAUCCCAUGUGCUCUCAUGACUGUGCUGUAUAGUCUCAAGUGGAUCUUGGGAUAACCAAUCCCACUAUAGCGCUCAAUGUCUGGCAUGCGAAACUUGGCGGGCAAGCUAGCCAUUGGUAUACCAUCCCUAUCAUCCCAAGUCAGACCUUCAUCCUACAAUCUGAUCUGUCUCAUCCUGGACUCAAACCUCUCGACCCUGGCCUCCUGCUCGGCCAAUCUAGCAUCAUCAGUAGUAGGAACCAUGGGAGGUGACACUGUGGCAGCAGGUGGUGGAGUAGUCUCACAAUGAUCUGAUAAAUGGAAUGGAACGCCAUGUAAAGUCCCAGGUGGAAAAACCUACGCUGUCUGAGAUACAUGGGGAACUGUAUCAUCAAUGCUAAUGACAACUGGAUGAUAAUCCUAGCGAGAACUUUCUAUCUGAUCCAAACGUCUACUAAUCCCUGCCAUGAACUCCUGAAUAGAGGCAAGUGUGGAAGCUAGCUCAUCUGACAUCUCGACCGAAUGGUCUGAACUCUUAUGUGAAUCUGCUCUGAUCAAUCGACCUUCAACUCUCCUCCAAGGAUGUGACUCCAAACUCAAACAACUCCUAAAAUGACUCCCUAAAACCCAAACGAAAUGGAUGAAGGACACAAAAUAAGACCUUAAAAGACAACAAUACAACAUGCAAGCACAUGAUCCUGGGGUGGCAAUCCGAAAUCUAGAUUUAUGAUGAGAACUCUAGAGUCAUAAAGGUGUCCACUGCAAGAUGGCUACAAAUGUGACUAGAGAAUUCCCAUCAAUAAUCUAAGAUAAAAUAGGUAUGAGAAACACACUAUCAUGAGAUCAAUACUCCAUCUAUAAACACAUAUCUUUAACUCAACUUUCAACCUGAGCUCCAUAAGACAAAAAAUGAUAAGGUGAUCAAGGCGAAUCUCUCGAAAAAUAUGUGGAUAAGAAAAUGUGCCUUUCACCUUUCCGUAGUGAAAAUAUGAGCAUCGAGUUGAAAAUUGAAUCAAGUAUCCAACAAAGAAUGAGGUACUGAGCCCGUGAUAGAUGUACAGUGCAAAAACAAGAUGAUCAUGAUCGAUGAACAUAUCCCGAAACAUCAAGUAAGUGAUAGCAAAGUGAAAGGAUGUGUCGAGCCAAGAAAGAAAAAUGAAAGCCCUAGGGAGAAAGCAUGACAAACUCAUCGAGUGAAAAACAUAAUCCAAGGUGACACAAAAAAAGUGAUCCAACCAAUACUUGAUUACUACUCAAAAAGUGUUAUUUCAUAGCUUGUAAUUAACUCUUUUAAACACUUUUGAGUAGUAGUUAUUGCCUUUUAACCCAAUUAACAUGUUAAGGACCCUUGCAAUCAAUUCUAAUCAAAUUGUGUUAAGUUUUGGUGUUUUGAUAGCUUUUUGAUCACCAAAGCAAUCCGAGAUUGAGGAGAGUUAUUUGGAAUCCAUGGCAAAGCAAUGGAAAGCUCAAAUUCAUGAAGAACCAAGCUUUGGAGAUCCAUAGCCCUUUGCCAAAGUCGUUCAAAGUAUGCAAGGAAAGAACAACGGAGAGAGGAAAAAUAGAGUGAAGAAAACAGAGGACAGCAACUGUAGUCUUCUUUUGCACUUUUGGAGCACUUCCCGAAGUCCAUUUUCUACAUGCUAUAUACCAUUUCAAAGCUCAGGAAGUCAAGAAUUCAACACUUCAAACGAUGUGCGAUUCAGAGUUGAAACAAAGGAGUUACAGCCAUUGCAAGAAGAUCACCACUCCAAGCUGAAGGAAGAUUUUUGCACAGCUGCGAAAUUAGUCUUUUGCUGCAAGAAUUUCGCAGCCAUUUUGUACAGUGCACAGGUGUUCUCCUGAAGCUUCCCGAUAGUUGCGACCGACACUUUUGGAUAUUUUUCUUCAGAUAUUUUUGUAUAAAUUUCCAUUCUUCUCCUUGUAACCCACCAAUUAUAGGAUUCCUUAGUUAUUAAGUUUGGAAAAGGGGUGAAUAACCUCAGAUAUUUUGUUUUGUAAUUUUCUUUAUAUAUAGCUAUCGGGAGCUUGUUCUCAGGGCAUGAUGUAAUCCAACGGGAUAUAGAUAGAUAAAUAUAUAGAAUAUACAGAGCCUUGCUCUGUUUUUUCCUUCUCUUUCAUUUUCAUUUUCUUGCUAGCCAAACAUUCUGUGAGAUUUUUUCUCAGAUGAUGAGUGGCUAGGAUUUUUGUUUCUUGGGUGAAGGAAGCUAAGUAAGGUUCCGGCUACAUAAGUGUGAGAUUUUGUUGUUUCCGUUUUGAAUGAAGAGAAAGUGUGAUCCUUUAGUGUUUUCUAUAUUUUUAGUUAACUUAAAACGCCUUGGAGUCACCUGGGCCAACACUUGGUAAGGCAAGUGAUCUCCGUCCAUGGAGAUGCACUAGUUUACCCCUUGCGAGCCUUUGGGAGGUGACUUGAAGGUAGGAUUUUCUAGAAUAACCAACACUUGGUAAGCUUUUGGACUCCAAGGAGACAUCCAUUAGUUAUCUCUUGCGAGCUUUUGACGGGUAAUCCAAGGUUAAAGAUCACCUUGAAUGGCAAGUGCUAGGUGAGAGGUAUGAGUCAUUGCAAGAUGCAUCAGUGAGAGAGAUUUAGUGUUUGAACCCAUUAAUGGGAAGCAUCUGUACAACACCGGUUGGAGAAGGAACUAUAUGUUAAUUCUCUAAUGCGAGGAAAAGAAACAAGUGACCGGAACUCCCUUUUUGUAUGAGGAACCUGAGCCUAGUGAUCUAAACUCCAAGAAACAUUUUUCUUUGUAAGUAAAAUCAGUUACUAUUUUUGGUUGGUUUAAAACCAAACCUUUUUUCAGUCAAACAUCUUUAUGUUUUCUUUUAAAACUAACCUUGAAAUGAAAAUGCACCAAUUCAGCUUUGAAUUAAUAUCAUUUGCAAAGUGAAAACCCAUCCCAGUGAACGAUCCUAGAGCCGCUAUGCUAUAGUAGCUUUGUCUUUGCUACCUUAGUAUAUGGUGUAAUAGGUUAUAAAUUUUGUUGAUUACUCCCUCAAUCAAGGAGCACUAGCUGGACACGAAUCAGCUGAGACACCAAUUGGGCACGAAUCAAAUGGCGUCGUUGCCGGGGAUCGAACCCCGAAUCAAAUGGUGUCGUUGCCACUGCCGCUGCUAGGGAUGAAUCAAAUGGCGCCGUUGCCGGGGAUGGUGCCACUUUACAGUGAUAUCACCUUUUCAGAGUACUUGUGAUCUUCAUCACAAGUUUGGUGACUUUUCUUUUUCUUUUACUAACUCUUUUUAUAUGUUUCUUUUUCUUUGUUCAUAUUUUAGUAUACCUUUUAUUUAGUUUUUAGUUUACCUUAAUUUUCUUUCUUUGAAUUGUUUUUCUUUUGUUUUCUUUUGUGUUCUCUGUUUUUAAUUCACAAAUUGCUAAGUUGUGCAUGCCAUAUUGAAUACCAUAGCAGAGGAAGCCAUGAACUUCAUGAGUUAUGUGGCUGAAGUCUCAAGAGAAUGGGGUGAACCAAAUGCUAGAGAUAAGGGAAGAAUGACGUCUCAACCUAAAGCUAAGGGUGAGAUGUAUAUUUUGAAUGAUGGUAUGAACAUGAAGGCAAAGAUUGCAGCUAUGGAAAGGAGAUUGGAAGAGCUAGAAAUGAACCAAAUGCAAGAAGUGCAAGCCAUCUCUCUAACACCAUUGCUACCUAUGCCUUGUUCCAUUUGUCGAUCAUAUGAGCACUUGGUGGAUGAGUGCCCUACCAUUCCAACCGAGAGGGAAAUGUUUGGUGAUUGCAACACCUACAAUUCCAAUUGGAGGGACCAUCCAAAUUUCUCUUGGAAACCACAGCCGCCUCAGUACAAGCAACAUGUUCAAGCACUUCCGCAAGCCUCAAUCCUUGAACAAGCUAUGGUGAAUCUUAGCAAGUUCGUGGGAGACUUUAUUGGAGCUCAGAAAUCCAUCAAUGUUCAGCUCAGUCAAAGAAUUAACAGUGUAGAGAGUUCAUUGAUUAAAAGGAUGGAUGAAGUGCAAAAUGAUCUAUCUCAGAAGAUAGAUAUUCUCCAAGAUUCAAUCUCAAGGCUUGCCAACCUCAACACAGUGCAAGAGAAAGAAAACUCUCCUUCUCAACCUUAUCAAAAUUCCAAGGGCAUCCAUGUAGUGGAGGCUCAAGAGGAAGAAUCUUCAAUGGUGAAGGAAGUUAAAACGGUUAUCACUUUGAGUGGUAAAGAGGUUGAUCUGCCCACAUGCAAGCUAGAGCAUAAGGUAGAGAGUGAAACAGAGAAAGAAAAGAGGGAGGAAAUCAAAGGAAAGAAAAAGGGGAAAAGUACAGAGAAAGAUGACUAUAUAGAUGAAGAACCACAGAGGAUAGUCAUCAAGGAAGAAUUGAUGAAGAAACACAUGCCUCCACCUUUUCUCCAAGCUUUGUAUGGGAAAAUCAUACAAACCAAGUCUCAAGUGAAGGAUGCAAACUUCAUAUGGGAUCCGGGCAAGCUAAAUCAGGAGCAAUUUUUUUGAUGGAAUUAGUCUUUUUAAAGACUAGCUAGUCCAUAUCUUUUUGUUUUGUUAAUUUUUUGUUUUAAUUUUGAUUUCAAUGCUUUAAUUUUGAUUUCAAUGCUUUAACAGUGUGCGAUUCAGAGUUGAAACGAAGGAGUUACAGCCAUUGCAAGAAGAUCACUCCAAGUUGAAGGAAGAUUUUUGCACAGCUGCGAAAUUAGUCUUUUGCUGCAAGAAUUUCGCAGCCAUUUUGUACAGUGCACAGGUGUUCUCCUGAAGCUUCCCGAUAGUUGCGACCGACACUUUUGGAUAUUUUUCUUCAGAUAUUUUUGUAUAAAUUUCCAUUCUUCUCCUUGUAACCCACCAAUUAUAGGAUUCCUUAGUUAUUAAGUUUGGAAAAGGGGUGAAUAACCUCAGAUAUUUUGUUUUGUAAUUUUCUUUAUAUAUAGCUAUCGGGAGCUUGUUCUCAGGGCAUGAUGUAAUCCAACGGGAUAUAGAUAGAUAAAUAUAUAGAAUAUACAGAGCCUUGCUCUGUUUUUUCCUUCUCUUUCAUUUUCAUUUUCUUGCUAGCCAAACAUUCUGUGAGAUUUUUUCUCAGAUGAUGAGUGGCUAGGAUUUUUGUUUAUUGGGUGAAGGAAGCUAAGUAAGGUUCCGGCUACAUAAGUGUGAGAUUUUGUUGUUUCCGUUUUGAAUGAAGAGAAAGUGUGAUCCUUUAGUGUUUUCUAUAUUUUUAGUUAACUUAAAACGCCUUGGAGUCACCUGGGCCAACACUUGGUAAGGCAAGUGAUCUCCGUCCAUGGAGAUGCACUAGUUUACCCCUUGCGAGCCUUUGGGAGGUGACUUGAAGGUAGGAUUUUCUAGAAUAGCCAACACUUGGUAAGCUUUUGGACUCCAAGGAGACAUCCAUUAGUUAUCUCUUGCGAGCUUUUGACGGGUAAUCCAAGGUUAAAGAUCACCUUGAAUGGCAAGUGCUAGGUGAGAGGUAUGAGCCAUUGCAAGAUGCAUCAGUGAGAGAGAUUUAGUGUUUGAACCCAUUAAUGGGAAGCAUCUGUACAACACCGGUUGGAGAAGGAACUAUAUGUUAAUUCUCUAAUGCGAGGAAAAGAAACAAGUGACCGGAACUCCCUUUUUGUAUGAGGAACCUGAGCCUAGUGAUCUAAACUCCAAGAAACAUUUUUCUUUGUAAGUAAAAUUAGUUACUAUUUUUGGUUAGUUUAAAACCAAACCUUUUUUCAUUCAAACAUCUUUAUGUUUUCUUUUAAAACUAACCUUGAAAUGAAAAGGCACCAAUUCAGCUUUGAAUUAAUAUCAUUUGCAAAGUGAAAACCCAUCCCAGUGAACGAUCCUAAAGCCGCUAUGCUAUAGUAGCUUUGUCUUUGCUACCUUAGUAUAUGGUGUAAUAGGUUAUAAAUUUUGUUGAUUACCCCCUCAAUCAAGGAGCACUAGCUGGACACGAAUCAGCUGAGACACCAAUUGGGCACGAAUCAAAUGGCGUCGUUGUCGGGGAUCGAACCUCGAAUCAAAUGGUGUCGUUGCCACUGCCGCUGCUAGGGAUGAAUCAAUACUCAAACUCACACCGAUCUCUGAGCACUCUCAACUGGAGACUAAAAAAAGGGAGUGUUGAAUCCGAACUAUGACCACAAAGUCUCUGAAAACCCUCAGAUGCACCCACGUGUAGAGAGGGAGUCCUAAUCGAAGGAUCUACGGCUCAACCUACGAGGUCAAGGUGGCCCUAAAAGGAAAUGGGUGGACUUUAAAAUAUCCCUAGCAGAAGCGAUUGUACCCUCCAGCAGUACGCAACCCUCUGCACGCCUCUGAAGACACGGGGUGCUUCCAUGCAAGGUGGUCAUCACCUCCACACAUGCACUACCUCGACAUCCCAUGGGGGUUUCCUAUGGUGAAACCUCUCAACGCUCAAUGGUCGACUAGAGUGCACAGUGAAUGGUGUGGGUGCAUCUGAAAACCCUAGGAAGCUAAAAUAGAAGAGAAAGCACACUGGUCACAUAAAUAUCCAUGAAACCUAGCUCUGGGCUAUACAGGUCUUCAAUGAUCAGACUUCAAUCGACAUCAAAGUGUCACUCUCCUCCAGAAUGCUCUCGUACAUCAAUAUAGCUCGUCACUAGACCCUACUCCUAAACCUCUAGCUCGAUCAGAGAACAAGCACACACAAGGCCUCACACUUGCAAAAGUGAAAACCAGAAUGAAGAAAAUGACCGAGACCAAGAGGGUUGGAGGUAGAGGGAUAGAUGUGUGGCCCACACAGACAAACAACAUGCAAUCAAGUAGAAGAAGGGCAGUCAUGCGGCAUGCAGUCAAAUAGUGGACAGAAUAUAUCACUCAUGCACACAUACAAACUAUGACAAUCAGAUGAAAAGUGAUACAAACAUCAUGCUCAAAGACGAUAGAGAGAAUACACAAGUAAGUGAAUCAACAUGUCAAGUCAAGGGAUAUACAAUCAUGAGUCAAUACAUGUGAAGUGAUCAAAACAAACAUAGCAAAAUCAGAGUUGCUAUACUAAACAAUGUAAGAUAAUCAAUCAAUACAACCACACGAGCAUGGCAAUGAAGCACAGAAGAAAUAGAUAUCUCAAAAUCCUCAACCAAGACAAAUCAAUCAUCAUAAAUAGCAUGUCAAAUAUCUCAAACAAAUAUAUCAAUGGAGCGUAAAAAGAAUCACUAUAUCAAAAUCCUUAAUCAAGAUGAUCAACCAACACGAUCAACAUGUUAAUGUCCCAAGUGAAAACUCGGGAACUCACAAUGUGCAAUCAAGAGACAGGUAUCCAUUGAUCGACUCAUCAAAUGCCACAUUUGUUUCAUCUUAAGUUCAAGCUUGACCCUCUAAACAAUCCCCAGUGGAGUCGCCAUUUUGUGGACCCCGCAUUUCGGCUUAUGCGUUUUCACUCGAUGGCGAGCUCGAUUUUGAUUUGAAAAAUGAUUUUAUUUAUUAGAAAAUGACUUGGAGUCGCCACUUUUUUUUCUUUUUUUUUAAAGGGUAAACAAAAUAAGAAAGAAAACCCUAAGUGUGACUCCUUAUUUUGGAAAAGAUGGUCUGCAAAAAAUCGGAUCAAGUUCGAGGAUCAGGUUACUUAUUGGGAAGGUACGGUAAAGACCGUAGCAUCCCUCUAAGUCCCUAAAAAUGGGUCUCUACUAAUAAAAUGAAACAAUCAUGGCAAUUGAUUAAUCGAGCAUGGAUACCAAAUGAAUAUCACUCAAGACAAAAUAACUGAAUAAAUAGGAGAGGCAAAGAAUGUACCCGAGUGAUGAACUGGUUUACUUCAAGGGAAACAAAUGUUAGCAAUCAAACACAGAAUAAUUGCAUCCAUGUCAUAGAGUCGAAUAGAGUAAAUCAAUCAUAUAUAGUAAUCAAAUCAAUCGAUCAAUUAAUUAAUCAUAAAAUCACAUAUGUCGGGCCCCUCACCAAAGCCCAUUUAUUUUGCAUUAAUUAAUAUCACAAAUUCCAUUAUUCUGGAAUUAUGAAAAAUUCAUUCAUACUUAUUAAAAUCAAGAGGAGCAGAAAAUUGUUUGAAAAUCAAAGUGGAAUUAAAACCAUUUGAGAGAAAAUUGGAUUUUUGAAAUUUAUUUGAAAAAUUGGAGUCUCGAAGAUUACUUGAAAGAAAUUGGAGUUUUAAAAUUAAAUUUCGGAAAUGGAAUUUUGGAAAUUAAAUUCAAAAGAAAUUGGAUUUUGGAAAUUAAAUUUGAAAUAAAUCAUAAUUUUGGAAAUUAAAUUUGAAAGAAAUGAAAUUUUGGAAAUUAAAUUGAAGAAUUUGAAUUUUGAAAAUUAAAUUUAAAGGAAAUCGGAAUUCCGGAAAUUAAAUUUAGGAAACGGAAUUUUGGAAAUUAAAUUUAGGAAAUGGAAUUUUGGAAAUUAAAUUUAGGAAAUGGAAUUUUGGAAAUUAAAUUUAAAAGAAAUUGGAUUUUGGAAAUUAAAUUUGAAAGAAAUCAGAAUUUUGGAAAUUAAAUUUGAAAGAAAUGAAAUUUUGGAAAUUAAAUUAAAGAAUUUGAAUUUUGGAAAUUAAAUUUGAAGGAAAUCUGAAUUCUGAAAAUUAAAUUUGAUAGAAAUUGGAGUUUUAAAAAUUAAAUUUAGGAAAUGGAAUUUUGGAAAUUAAAUUUAAAAGAAAUUGGAUUUUGGAAAUUAAAUUUGAAAUAAAUGAAAUUUUGGAAAUUAAAUUGAAGAAUUUGAAUUUCGAAAAUUAAAUUUGAAGGAAAUCGGAAUUCCGGAAAUUAAAUUUGAAAGAAAUUGGAGUUUUAAAAAUUAAAUUUAGGAAAUGGAAUUUUGGAAAUUAAAUUUAGGAAAUGGAAUUUUGGAAAUUAAAUUUAAAAGAAAUUGGAUUUUGGAAAUUAAAUUUGAAAGAAAUCAGAAGUUUGGAAAUUAAAUUUGAAAGAAAUGAAAUUUUGGAAAUUAAAUUGAAGAAUUUGAAUUUUGGAAAUUAAAUUUGAAGGAAAUCGGAAUUCUGAAAAUUAAAUUUGAAAGAAAUUGGAGUUUUAAAAAUUAAAUUUAGAAAAUGGAAUUUUAGAAAUUAAAUCUAAAAGAAAACGGAGUUUUGAAAAUUAAUUGAGAGUCAGAGUUUUGAAAAUUAAAUUUAAGAAUUAGAAAUUUGAAAAAUAAAUAAAUAAAAUAAUAAUAAUGUCAAAAAUAAUAAAGAUUAAAUAAGUGAAUGUAAAAAAAUGGGAUAUUGGGAAUUAGAAAUUAAAUUAAGAAAUAGGAAUUUUGGGAGAAUUGAACUUUAAUAUUAAAACAUGAAGGAAUAAAUAAAUAAAUAAAAUGGUGAAUGGUGGUUGGUAGCUUGCCAUGCAACGUGUUACCUAGGUGCUAAGUGGCAAGUGUAAUUGGAAAAGUGAUCUAAAAAGGCACUAGCACCCAAACCCAAAAUCAUAUGAGAGAAUUGAACUUGUGGGGCCUAUUUUCAUUGUGACAUUCUCAUUCCAAUCACAUACAUUAAUGUUAUUUGUAUUUGGCGGGUCUACGGGACACCAUUCUUUAGCUGGCAGAUUAAGAGUGACCUCCAUCCAAUGCCAUUUGAGCCUCCUAGUCUCUAUACCUGUAGCACUUGACGUCUGAAGACAAUCCUCUCCAAGAAGCCGAGUCAGAUUUCCAGUUGCUUCCUUCGGUUCCUUCUUCUUCCCUCUAGCUAUCUUUUCCUCCCGUCUGGCUCUCUGCUCCUCCUUAGCCAAUCUGUCACCAUCUCAACCACCACGUCCAUGCAUGCUCGCUCCCCCGAAAACCGGCCCCCACUUUCGAAAUGAAAAACACAGCUCUCCCCUUAGUGCGAGAAAAAACUGUCGGUUCCAAGAGGGGUCUACAGUUACAUAUAUUUUUUUUUUUAAUAAAAAAAUAUCAAAAUGUCUAUUAUUACUUGUUACAUAAUUUUUUAAAAUUUCUUUUAACAUUUUCACAAGUUUUUGUCAAUUUUCAUCUCAUUGAUAUUUUAUGUAAAAAUAUCUACCAUUAUUCUCAAUAUAUCUCGAUAUAUCCAUAAAAUUGGGUUACUCAUAUAUCCAUAAUAUUGGGUUACUACCAAGGAUGAAAAUAUCAGUAAUCACGGAUAUAUCGGUACUUCAAUUUUACAAAUAUAUCGGAUAUAUCGGAGAUAUAUCAACGGAUGUUUUGGAAAAAAAUAUCGGUAAGCUUAAAAUUGUUAAAAACUCAUGAAAAUGUAAGGAAAACCUUAUAAUAAUAUAAUUAUAAGUAUAAUAGACAUUUAAAGUUAUUUUAUUGAAAUUUUUUAUAUAUGUAUAAUAUGAUUUAUCAUAUUUGAUAAUAAUAUCGUAUGCAUCGAUAAAAAUAUGAAUUUUAUAAAUGUACAUUUAUUAUUAAAUCACACCUAAUAUUAUGAUAUUUGAUUAUAAUAUGUCUAAUUUUAAAAUAUAUAUUAAUAUUAAAAUAUGAUUCAUUUAAUUCAAUUGUAUUAAACAAUAUAAAAUAAAUUAUGAUAUAUAUAUAUAUAUAUAUAUAUAUAUAUAUAUAUAUAUAUAUAUAUAUAUAUAUAUUUUAAUAUUUAAUUAAUUAUUAAUGAUAUUAAAAACAUUAUGAAGAAAAUUAUAUAAUUUUAUAUUUUUGGUAAUUAAUUAAAAGAUUUUGCAUUUAAUUAUAAAAUAAUUAUAAUUAAUUUACUCUUUAAAAUAUUCUUUUAAUAUUUUCUUUAUAUAAUGAGUUUAAGUAUAUAUAAAAUUAUUGCACAUCAUAUAUCAAAGGGCAAUUAGCCCAGGGAAGCAAAAUGGGGGACAGCACUAUAGCACAUUGACUUCACUGUAGUGUGUUUGACUUUCGUUGACCCGUGUUGACCAUACGAUAUAUCGGAAAAAAUCACCGAUUUCUCGAUAUUUAUCCCGAAAUAUCGCCGGACCAAUAUUUCUCUAUGAAAUAUCAUGUCGAUACCCUUCGAUACACUAUCGCGACAUUUUCUUCCUUGGUUACUACUGAUGGUAUGAAUUUUAACGAACCGAGAAAAUUGGGUUUCAACCAUAUUAGAAAAUAUAUAAUCAAUAAAAAAAAAAUUAGAAGUAUGAUUUCACUCUGUUUAGUUUCAAACUCAUUAGGCAUGCACUCUCCAACUUCCCAACAAAUGAUAAUUAUUUCCAACUUCUUAUUUUCCUAUUAUGAAUCUCUAAAUUAUGUUUGGUUCACCAGAGGGAAAAUAUAAGGAAAAAAAACAAAUAAAAUAAAAAUAAAAAAUAAAUUUAAAACCAAGAAAUUAUUUUUAUUUAUUAUUUCAAAUUUAUUUUAAUUAGUUUAACUCUUCAAGAAUUAAAUAGUUUGAAAAUAUAUAAAUUUUUAAUUACCUUUAAUUAUAUAUUUUUUAUUCGAAGAAAAUCAUUUUUUAAUUUUUUUUUUUUCUUUUGUUAAUAAUUCUUGAAAGCAAACAUAGCCCUAAAGUUUAUGAAACCCAUCGCUUAGAAUUUUCUUCCGGACACAAACCAAGUUUCAGAGGAAGCAACAAGUGGGCAGUACAGAUUGAUCUAUCCAUCAUUUUGUAAGGUUCAUGAUCAUUUUCUUCUCCGUUCUGCGGACCGUAAUUGAACAGAUACAACCCAGAGAGGGCUUUGGAAUUUAAACCGCAAAUUAAAUUCAUUGAAAAUUGAUGGCUUGAGAGAAUUUUCUGGGGUUUUGUUUUGAUGGGUAUAUAUUGUUUUCUAUGAAUUGAAAUUCGAAGAGCUCACAAGAUCAGUGGUUGAAAUUUGUGCUGACAAAAAUUAAAAAGAAGAUACAUAUAGCAGACAAACAGAAGCUCAUUGGCGAAUUGGGAUUCUUAUUAAGUCACUUUCUUGAAUAUGUGGAUCAUAUAAACAGUGUACAACCCUGAGAUGAAUAAGUGAAUAUAUAAAUGCAUCGUAAACAAACACUGCAGGUCGAUUGAUUCACCAACUCCUUCCAUCAAUGUCAAGCUACUUUGAAUUUUCGACGCAGCAAAUACCCUAAUGAAAUGGCUAUAAAAGCCGUUAUAACGAUCCCCUUGUACGACUUCAACUUGGUCAUUACAUUUUCUAACACAGUUUCAUCUCUUUUUGAUUCAUGGCCUCCCUUCUUUUGUAUGCCACUUCCUUCUUCUUUUGGUUUUUCGACUUCCUUCUUUUGUUUGUCACUUUCUUCUUUAGUUUUUUCGACUUCCUUCUUUUGUUUGUCACUUUCUUCUUUUGGUUUUUCUGUCACAACAGGCUGCUGCUUUGGGAUGGUCAUCUCGAGAGGUUUCUUAGGAGGUGGUUGGGCUAUGCUCAGCUUUACGUCUUUCCCAGCACCUUAGAAUGAGAGCAACGAAUUAAAGAUUAACAACAUUCUACUUCUCCAUUGAAUACAUUUGUUUCUAUAAAUUGUGUGUGUAUAUAGAGGCUAAGAAGAAGAGCAAUCAAACAAUGAUUCAUAGAUUUAACAGAUCAUUUAUUUUCUAACAAGAAGAAAAGAGUUCAAGGAACUUCAACAAGUAAGCCUCCAAAGAUGACAAAGCAGAAUAUUGGCG